rnacentral:rRNA from 1 species
GACGAACGCUGGCGGCGUGCUUAACACAUGCAAGUCGUACGGUAAGGCCCUUUCGGGGGUACACGAGUGGCGCACGGGUGAGUAACACGUGAGUAACCUGCCCACAACUUUGGGAUAACGCUAGGAAACUGGUGCUAAUACUGGAUAUGUGCUCCUGCUGCAUGGUGGGGGGUGGAAAGCUCCGGCGGUUGUGGAUGGACUUGCGGCCUAUUAGCUUUUUGGUGGGGUAGUGGCCUACCAAGGCGGCGAGGGGUAGCCGGCCUGAGAGGGUGACCGGCCACAUUGGGACUGAGAGACGGCCCAGACUGCGACGGGAGGCAGCAGUGGGGAAUAUUGCACAAUGGGCGCAAGCCUGAUGCAGCAACGCCGCGGGCGGGAUGACGGCCUUCGGGUUGUAAACCGCUUUCAGCAGGGACGAAGCUUUUUGUGACGGUACCUGCAGAAGAAGCACCGGCUAACUACGUG